rnacentral:rRNA from 1 species
UACGUAGGGGGCGAGCGUUGUCCGGAGUUACUGGGCGUAAAGCGCUUGUAGGCGGUCCACCAAGUUUGGGGUGACAGUUGCCGACUUAAUCGGCAAAGUGCCUCAAAGACUGGCGGACUUGAGGGCCACAGAGGGACAUGGAACUCCAGGUGUAGUGGUGAAAUGCGUAGAUAUCUGGAAGAACACCAGAGGCGAAGGCAGUGUCCUGGGUGGUCGCUGACGCUGAGAGGCGAAAGCCAGGGGAGCGAACGGG